AUUGAACGCUGGCGGCAUGCCUUACACAUGCAAGUCGAACGGCAGCACGGGAGCAAUCCUGGUGGCGAGUGGCGAACGGGUGAGUAAUAUAUCGGAACGUGCCCAGUCGUGGGGGAUAACGUAGCGAAAGCUACGCUAAUACAGCAUACGAUCUAUGGAUGAAAGCGGGGGAUCGCAAGACCUCGCGCGAUUGGAGCGGCCGAUAUCAGAUUAGGUAGUUGGUGAGGUAAAGGCUCACCAAGCCGACGAUCUGUAGCUGGUCUGAGAGGACGACCAGCCACACUGGGACUGAGACACGGCCCAGACUCCGACGGGAGGCAGCAGUGGGGAAUUUUGGCCAAUGGGCGCAAGCCUGAUCCAGCAAUGCCGCGUGCAGGAUGAAGGCCUUCGGGUUGUAAUCUGCUUUUGUACGGAACGAAACGGUGAGCUCUAAUACAGUUUGCUAAUGACGGUACCGUAAGAAUAAGCACCGGCUAACUACGUGCCAGCCGCCGCAGUAA
rnacentral:rRNA from 1 species